rnacentral:rRNA from 1 species
CCUCGGGCGGCUGCAGUGGGGAAUAUUGGACAAUGGGCGAAAGCCUGAUCCAGCCAUGCCGCGUGUGUGAAGAAGGCCUUCGGGUUGUAAAGCACUUUCAGUGGGGAAGAAAGCCUUGGGGCUAAUACCCUCGAGGAAGGACAUCACCCACAGAAGAAGCACCGGCUAACUCCGUGCCAGCAGCCGCGGUAAUACGGAGGGUGCGAGCGUUAAUCGGAAUUACUGGGCGUAAAGCGCGCGUAGGCGGUCUGAUAAGCCGGUUGUGAAAGCCCCGGGCUCAACCUGGGAACGGCAUCCGGAACUGUCAGGCUAGAGUGCAGGAGAGGAAGGUAGAAUUCCCGGUGUAGCGGUGAAAUGCGUAGAGAUCGGGAGGAAUACCAGUGGCGAAGGCGGCCUUCUGGACUGACACUGACGCUGAGGUGCGAAAGCGUGGGUAGCAAACAGGAUUAGAUACCCGAGUAUC